rnacentral:rRNA from 1 species
GAUGAACGCUGACAGAAUGCUUAACACAUGCAAGUCAACUUGAAUUUGGGUUUUUAACUUAGGUUUGGGUGGCGGACGGGUGAGUAACGCGUAAAGAACUUGCCUCACAGCUAGGGACAACAUUUGGAAACGAAUGCUAAUACCUAAUAUUAUGAUAAUAGGGCAUCCUAUAAUUAUGAAAGCUAUAAGCGCUGUGAGAGAGCUUUGCGUCCCAUUAGCUAGUUGGAGAGGUAACGGCUCACCAAGGCGAUGAUGGGUAGCCGGCCUGAGAGGGUGAUCGGCCACAAGGGGACUGAGACACGGCCCUUACUCCUACGGGAGGCAGCAGUGGGGAAUAUUGGACAAUGGACCGAGAGUCUGAUCCAGCAAUUCUGUGUGCACGAUGAAGUUUUUCGGAAUGUAAAGUGCUUUCAGUUGGGAAGAAACAAAUGACGGUACCAACAGAAGAAGUGACGGCGAAAUACG